rnacentral:rRNA from 1 species
GAUGAACGCUAGCUACAGGCUUAACACAUGCAAGUCGAGGGGAAACGGCAUUAAGUGCUUGCACUUUUUGGACGUCGACCGGCGCACGGGUGAGUAACGCGUAUCCAACCUGCCCCUUACCAGGGAAUAACCCGUUGAAAGACGGACUAAUGCCCUAUGCAGUCCUUUGACGGCAUCAGAUUAGGACUAAAGAUUCAUCGGUAUGGGAUGGGGAUGCGUCUGAUUAGCUUGUUGGCGGGGUAACGGCCCACCAAGGCAUCGAUCAGUAGGGGUUCUGAGAGGAAGGUCCCCCACAUAGGAACUGAGACACGGUCCUAACUCAUACGGGAGGCAGCAGUGAGGAAGAUUGGUCAAUGGGCGCUAGCCUGAACCAGCCAAGUAGCGUGCAGGACGACGGCCCUAUGGGUUGUAAACUGCUUUUAUGCGGGGAUAAAGUCACCCACGUGUGGGUGUUUGCAGGUACCGCAUGAAUAAGGACCGGCUAAUUCCGUG